GGCUCGGUAGCGGAUGUCCGCAUCUGCCUUCCAUUCAAAGUCGUUACCAGAGUAAUGCAGAUAAAGCCUGUUCGACUCAGGCCCGAGCCA